AGUGAACGCUGGCGGUAGGCCUAACACAUGCAAGUCGAACGGCAGCACAGUAAGAGCUUGCUCUUACGGGUGGCGAGUGGCGGGCGGGUGAGGAAUACAUCGGAAUCUACUUUUUCGUGGGGGAUAACGUAGGGAAACUUACGCUAAUACCGCAUACGACCUACGGGUGAAAGCAGGGGAUCUUCGGACCUUGCGCGAUUGAAUGAGCCGAUGUCGGAUUAGCUAGUUGGCGGGGUAAAGGCCCACCAAGGCGACGAUCCGUAGCUGGCCUGAGAGGAUGAUCAGCCACACUGGAACUGAGACACGGUCCAGACUCCUACGGGAGGCAGCAGUGGGGAAUAUUGGACAAUGGGCGCAAGCCUGAUCCAGCCAUACCGCGUGGGUGAAGAAGGCCUUCGGGUUGUAAAGCCCUUUUGUUGGGAAAGAAAAGCAGCAGGUUAAUACCCCGCUGUUCUGACGGUACCCAAAGAAUAAGCACCGGCUAACUUCGUG
rnacentral:rRNA from 1 species